GGGGCUGUAGCUCAGUUGGGAGAGCGCGCCGCGAAAGCAGCGAGGUCAGAGGUUCAAGUCCUUCUCAGCUCCUCCA
rnacentral:tRNA from 4 species